UAAGGAAUAUUGCUCAAUGGGAGAAAUCCUGAAGCAGCAACGCCGCGUGGAGGAUGAAGGGUCUAUGACUUGUAAACUCCUGUAAAGAAGGAAAAAAUUCCCAUUAGAUGGGAGAUGAUGGUACUUCUGGAGUAAGCCCCGGCUAACUACGUGCCAGCAGCCGCGGUAAUACGUAGGGGGCAAGCGUUGUCCGGAUUUACUGGGUGUAAAGGGUGCUCAGGCGGAUUUGUAAGUCAGAGGUGAAAUCUUACAGCUUAACUGUGAAACUGCCUUUGAUACUGCAAACCUAGAGUAUGGAAGAGAGUGAUGGAAUAUCUGGUGUAGCAGUGAAAUGCGUAGAUAUCAGAUAGAACACCAAUGGCGAAGGCAGUCACUUGGUCCAUUACUGACGCUAAAGCACGAAAGCGUGGGUAGCAAACA
rnacentral:rRNA from 1 species